rnacentral:misc_RNA from 1 species
UACGAAGGGUGCAAGCGUUGUCCGGACUUAUUGGGCGUAAAGCGUUUCGUAGGCGGUUUAGCAAGUCAUACUUCAAAGCCUCCCGCUUAACGGGAGAAAGGGGUGUGAUACUGCUGGACUGGAAGAAUGUAGGGGCUACUGGAACUUAUCAUGUAGGAGUGAAAUCCGUUGAUAUGAUAAGGAACACCAAGGGCGUAGGCAGGUAGCUGGGCAUUUCCAUGUACCAUUUGGUGCAUGGACUGUGAACCGU